rnacentral:rRNA from 1 species
UACGUAGGCAGCAAGCGUUGUUCGGAGUUACUGGGCGUAAAGGGUGUGUAGGCGGUUGGAUAAGUGUGGUGUGAAAUCUCCCGGCUUAACUGGGAGGGUGCGCUACAAACUGUCUGACUAGAGUGUGGGAUGGGUAAGUGGAAUUCCUGGUGUAGCGGUGAAAUGCGUAGAUAUCAGGAGGAACACCGGUGGUGUAGACGGCUUACUGGACCAUAACUGACGCUGGAGAACACGGAAAGCGUGGGUAGCAAACAGG